AGAGUUUGAUCAUGGCUCAGGACGAACGCUGGCGGCGUGCUUAACACAUGCAAGUCGAACGGUAAGGCCCCUUCGGGGGUACACGAGUGGCGAACGGGUGAGUAACACGUGGGUAAUCUGCCCUGCACUUCGGGAUAAGCCUGGGAAACUGGGUCUAAUACCGGAUAUGAGCUCCUGCCGCAUGGUGGGGGUUGGAAAGUUUUUCGGUGCAGGAUGAGCCCGCGGCCUAUCAGCUUGUUGGUGGGGUAAUGGCCUACCAAGGCGACGACGGGUAGCCGGCCUGAGAGGGUGAUCGGCCACACUGGGACUGAGACACGGCCCAGACUCCUACGGGAGGCAGCAGUGGGGAAUAUUGCACAAUGGGCGGAAGCCUGAUGCAGCGACGCCGCGUGGGGGAUGACGGUCUUCGGAUUGUAAACCCCUUUCAGUAGGGACGAAGCGCAAGUGACGGUACCUGCAGAAGAAGCACCGGCCAACUACGUGCCAGCAGCCGCGGUAAUACGUAGGGUGCGAGCGUUGUCCGGAAUUACUGGGCGUAAAGAGCUCGUAGGCGGUUUGUCGCGUCGUCUGUGAAAUCCUCCAGCUUAACUGGGGGCGUGCAGGCGAUACGGGCAGACUUGAGUACUACAGGGGAGACUGGAAUUCCUGGUGUAGCGGUGAAAUGCGCAGAUAUCAGAGGAACACCGGUGGCGAAAGCGGGUCUCUGGGUAGUAACUGACGCUGAGGAGCGAAAGCAUGGGUAGCGAACAGGAU
rnacentral:rRNA from 1 species